ACGAAGGGGGCUAGCGUUGUUCGGAAUUACUGGGCGUAAAGCGCACGUAGGCGGAUCGGUCAGUUAGGGGUGAAAUCCCAGGGCUCAACCCUGGAACUGCCUUUAAUACUGCCGGUCUAGAGUUCGAGAGAGGUGAGUGGAAUUCCGAGUGUAGAGGUGAAAUUCGUAGAUAUUCGGAGGAACACCAGUGGCGAAGGCGGCUCACUGGCUCGAUACUGACGCUGAGGUGCGAAAGCGUGGGGAGCAAACAG
rnacentral:rRNA from 1 species